rnacentral:rRNA from 1 species
CCUACGGGAGGCAGCAGUGGGGAAUCUUGCGCAAUGGGCGAAAGCCUGACGCAGCAACGCCGCGUGAGCGAAGAAGGCCUUCGGGUUGUAAAGCUCUGUCAGGGGGAAAGAAGGCACCUGGGUUAAUAGCCCAAGGGCUGACGGUACCUCCAAAGGAAGCCACGGCUAACUACGUGCCAGCAGCCGCGGUAAUACGUAGGUGGCAAGCGUUGUCCGGAAUCAUUGGGCGUAAAGAGCGCGUAGGUGGCUUGUCAGGUCUGAUGUGAAAACCUGGGGCUCAACUCCAGGCCUGCAUCGGAAACCGACUUGCUAGAGUCUGGGAGAGGAGAGUGGAAUUCCUGGUGUAGCGGUGAAAUGCGUAGAUAUCAGGAGGAACACCGGUAGCGAAGGCGGCUCUCUGGAACAGUACUGACGCUGAGGCGCGAAAGCUAGGGGAGCGAACAGGAUUAGAUACCCUGGUAGUCCAGCCCGUAAAC